rnacentral:lncRNA from 1 species
GUUAACAUGAAAUUAUUAGGGUGGGCCCUCAUCCGAUAUGACUGGUAUUCUUAUAAGAGGAGAAAACUUAGACAGAAGGAAGAUGAUGUGAAGACACAAGCAGGAGAUGGACAUCUAUAAGCCAAGGAGAGAGGCCUGGAACAGAUCCUUUCCUCAUGGCCCUCAGAAGGAACCAACCCUACCAACACCUUGAUCCCAGACUUCUAGCCUCCAGAACUGUGAGACAAAUUUCUGUUUAUGAUACUUUGUUACAGGAUCCUAGCAAACUAAUAGAGGAAGUACUAGGAUUUGAAAAUAAAGAGGAAGAGAAGCCAAUGAAGACUGAGAGAUAAUGGCCAUGAGGCAGGAGCAUGGAGAUCCUGGAUCUAAGAGAACAAAGAUGUUUCUCAAAGAGAGGACAGAGACAAAGAGUUCUAAGAGAAAAUAGUGAGCCUUGUACUGAAAGCAAUAUUGGUGACCCCAUGAGCACUCUGAGGACACAAGCCAGCUUGCAGGAAAUGAGAGUUGAGGAAGUGCCCAAGCACAUCUCCUCCUACUUUAACUACUAUAUUUAACUGUCAUAGCGUAGAGUGGAUGCAAGACCUUUGUGACUCAUUCACUUUAUACUGGACUUGGCUUACUCUUGUUUUGACUUUUGCUUUUGUGCUUAUUCAGAUUUUUGGAUUUUCUUGCCACUUUUCUUUUAGUGGAAAAUAAUAGCAAAUGCUCUUGGUUCUUUAUCCAUCCCCCCCUUUUAGUCUCUAUAAGGAAAUGGCAUGGGAGAUGGGUUUUGAAGAGUUCCAUUUGUAUCUGAGGCCUGUUCACUUUGAAUUUGCAUCACUCAAAGACAAACUGGACCAUCCACCUCCUGUCUUUGUCACCUCUCUGCUGGAAGACAGUGAUCGAGUGGACAGAUAUUCUCCUACUACUCUUGUCUUAGCCAUCUCUGAGGUGGAUGAUAACCAGGUUGGCAAGUUUAGCUUUUAUACAAAGGAAGCCAUCCUUAAGCUCUUAUUCCAUUCAGGAGUGGAAAAUAUGCAAGUGACCCUUGCAUGCCAAGCAGCUCAGAAAAAUGCCUUGAUGGUGGCUGUCCAACAGGCAUCCUUCUAUCACACGCCCCGGUGGGGCUGUCCUGCCAAUGUGAAGGAAAUAAGUUCAGAUCUGAGAAGUCAUGGUGGAAUGGGUCCAGACAGAAGAAGAAAUUCCAGAAUUGUGAAUGGCAUAGAGAACUUACUGUUAGCCCCAACUCCAAAAGUUCCAGACACUCUCACUCAUCCUUCAGAAAGAUUCCAGGCUACCAAAAGGUACUGACCUAGGGGUUUGUUUAAAAUUACAAAAGUGUCCUCUUUUAAGCCAGUUAAAAACAUAGUAUUGUGGGGUUGAAGGAUGCCUAAAUCCCCAAAGUGACCAGCAUGUGUUUAAUUUUUAAGACCUUCUAUGAAGACCAUGUGUGAACACUGAGAAGCUCAACUCCUUCCAAUAUACAGUCUAUGGAGAGUCAUUGGUUCCUUA